rnacentral:rRNA from 1 species
CUACGGGAGGCUGCAGUUAGGAAUAAUCUACAAUGCGCGCAAGCGUGAUAGUUUGAGCCAGAGUGUUUUUCUAUUUGAAAAGCUUUUGCCGAAUGUAAAAAGUUCGGCGAAUAAGGACUGGGUAAGACGAGUGCCAGCCGCCGCGGUAAUACUCGCGGUCCAAGUCGCAGCCAUUUUUAUUGGGUCUAAAACAUCCGUAGCUUGCUUGAUAAGUUUCCUGUGAAAUCCGGCUUCUUAAGAGUUGGGCGGGCAGGAAGUACUGUUAAGCUAGAGACUGGGAGACGUAAGAAGUACGUUUAAAGUAACGGUAAAAUGUGCUAAUCUUAAACGGACUCACAACAGCGAAGGCAUCUUACGAGAACAGUUCUGACAGUCAGGGAUGAAGGCUAGGGGCGCAAAACGGGUUAGAUACCCCAGUAGUC